ensembl:misc_RNA Metazoa_SRP Metazoan signal recognition particle RNA
GCUGGGUGUGGUGGCGAGCGCCUGUAAUCCCAGCUACUCAGGAGGCUGAGGCAGGAGAAUUGCUUGAACCCAGGAGGCGGAGGCUGCAGUGAGCCGAGAUUGUGUCUCUGCACUCCAGCCUGGGUGACAGAGCGAGACUCAGUCUCAA